rnacentral:rRNA from 1 species
AUUCGAUGCAACGCGAAGAACCUUACCAGAUCUUGACAUCCUACGUAGGCCUGUGAGAACAGGCUGUGCCUUCGGGAACGUAGAGACAGGUGGUGCAUGGCUGUCGACAGCUCGUGUCGUGAGAUGUUGGGUUAAGUCCCGCAACAAGCGCAACCCCUAUAGUUAGUUACCAUCAUUAAGUUGGGGACUCUAACUAGACUGCCUGCGAAGAGCAGGAGGAAGGUGGGGAUGACGUCAAGUCAUCAUGCCCCUUAUGAUCUGGGCUACACACGUGCUACAAUGGUUGGUACAAAGAGGAGCAAAACGGUGACGUGGAGCAAGACUAAAAAGCCAAUCUAAGUUCGGAUUGAAGUCUGCAACUCGACUUCAUGAAGUUGGAAUCGCUAGUAAUCGCAAAUCAGCAAUGUUGCGGUGAAUACGUUCCCGGGCCUAGUACAC